rnacentral:rRNA from 1 species
AGUGAGCGCUGGCGGUAGGCCUAACACAUGCAAGUCGAACGGCAGCACAGUAAGAGCUUGCUCUUACGGGUGGCGAGUGGCGGACGGGGGGGGAAUACAUCGGAAUCUACUUUUUCGUGGGGGAUAACGAAGGGAAACUUACGCUAAUACCGCAUACGACCUACGGGUGAAAGCAGGGGAUCUUCGGACCUUGCGCGAUUGAAUGAGCCGAUGUCGGAUUAGCUAGUUGGCGGGGUAAAGGCCCACCAAGGCGACGAUCCGUAGCUGGUCUGAGAGGAUGAUCAGCCACACUGGAACUGAGACACGGUCCAGACUCCUACGGGAGGCAGCAGUGGGGAAUAUUGGACAAUGGGCGCAAGCCUGAUCCAGCCAUACCGCGUGGGUGAAGAAGGCCUUCGGGUUGUAAAGCCCUUUUGUUGGGAAAGAAAAGCAGCAGGUUAAUACCCCGCUGUUCUGACGGUACCCAAAGAAUAAGCACCGGCUAACUUCGUG